rnacentral:rRNA from 1 species
UACAGAGGGUGCAAGCGUUAAUCGGAAUUACUGGGCGUAAAGCGUGCGUAGACGGUUAUGUAAGUCAGAUGUGAAAGCCCCGGGCUCAACCUGGGAAUUGCAUUUGAGACUGCAUAGCUAGGGUGCGGAAGAGGGAAGCGGAAUUUCCGGUGUAGCGGUGAAAUGCGUAGAUAUCUGGAGGAACACCGGGUGGCGAAGGCGGCAUCCUGGACCAAUAUUGACGCUGAGGAGCGAAAGCCAGGGGAGCAAACGGG